rnacentral:rRNA from 1 species
CAGUAGCCGCGGUAAUACAGAGGAUGCAAGCGUUAUCCGGAAUCAUUGGGUUUAAAGGGUCCGUAGGCGGUUUAGUAAGUCAGUGGUGAAAGCCCAUCGCUCAACGGUGGAACGGCCAUUGAUACUGCUGAACUUGAAUUAUUAGGAAGUAACUAGAAUAUGUAGUGUAGCGGUGAAAUGCUUAGAGAUUACAUGGAAUACCAAUUGCGAAGGCAGGUUACUACUAAUUGAUUGACGCUGAUGGACGAAAGCGUGGGGAGCGAACAGGAUUAGAUACCCGCGUAGUCCCUGUCUCUUAUAC